rnacentral:misc_RNA from 1 species
UUGAAUGUGUCAUUGUCUUAUUAGACUUGACAAUCUUCUUUAUAUAUUAAACCCCUGUUUAAAAAUGUUUACUAGAAUGUUAUAAUGUAGUCUUUUUUACUACAAAAUUUGAAAGCUUUAUUA